GACGAACGCUGGCGGCGUGCCUAAUACAUGCAAGUCGAACGGAGUGGGGACGGGUGAGUAACACGUGGGUAAGCUCCCAUCAGAGGGGAUAACACUUGGAAACAGGUGCUAAACCGAUACUGAUGGAUGGACCCGGGGUGGAUUAGCUAGUUGGUGAGGUAACGGCUCACCAAGGCCACGAUGCAUCGCCGACCUGAGAGGGUGAUCAGCCACACUGGAACUGAGACACGGCCCAGACUCCUACGGGAGGCAGCAGUAGGGAAUCUUCGACAAUGGGCGAAAGUCUGACCCAGCAAUGCCGCGUGUGUGAAGAAGGUUUUCGGAUCGUAAAGCUCUGUUGGUAGGGAAGCGUUAUCUAACCAGAAAGCCACGGCUAACUACGUGCCAGCAGCCGCGGUAAUAC
rnacentral:rRNA from 1 species